rnacentral:rRNA from 1 species
AUUGAACGCUGGCGGCAUGCCUAACACAUGCAAGUCGAGCGAGCGGCGGACGGGUGCGUAAUGUAUGGGGACUGCCCGAUAGAGGGGGAUAACUACUGGAAACGGUAGCUAAUACCGCAUACUACCGGAUAACUUAAAUGGGAUUAGCUAGUAGGUGGGGUAAUGUCUCACCUAGGCGACGAUCCCUAGCUGGUCUGAGAGGAUGAUCAGCCACACUGAGACUGAGACACGUCCCAGACUCCUACGGAGGCAGCAGUGGGGAAUAUUGCACAAGGGGAGCAAGCCUGAUGCAGCCAUGCCGCGUGUAUUAAGAAGGCCCUAGGAUUGUAAAGUACUUUCAGUCGGGAGGCGUUACCGACAGAAGAAGCACCGGCUAACUCCGUGCCAGCAGCCGCGGUAAUAC